AUUCUGGCUCAGGAUGAACGCUGGCGGCGUGCUUAACACAUGCAAGUCGAACGGGAUCCAUCAGGCUUUGCUUGGUGGUGAGAGUGGCGAACGGGUGAGUAAUGCGUGACCGACCUGCCCCAUACACCGGAAUAGCUCCUGGAAACGGGUGGUAAUGCCGGAUGCUCCGACUCCUCGCAUGGGGUGUCGGGAAAGAUUAUAUCGGUAUGGGAUGGGGUCGCGUCCUAUCAGGUAGUCGGCGGGGUAACGGCCCACCGAGCCUACGACGGGUAGCCGGCCUGAGAGGGCGACCGGCCACAUUGGGACUGAGAUACGGCCCAGACUCCUACGGGAGGCAGCAGUGGGGAAUAUUGCACAAUGGGCGCAAGCCUGAUGCAGCGACGCCGCGUGCGGGAUGACGGCCUUCGGGUUGUAAACCGCUUUUGAUCGGGAGCAAGCCUUCGGGUGAGUGUACCUUUCGAAUAAGCACCGGCUAACUACGUGCCAGCAGCCGCGGGAAUACGUAGGGUGCAAGCGUUAUCCGGAAUUAUUGGGCGUAAAGGGCUCGUAGGCGGUUCGUCGCGUCCGGUGUGAAAGUCCAUCGCUUAACGGUGGAUCUGCGCCGGGUACGGGCGGGCUGGAGUGCGGUAGGGGAGACUGGAAUUCCCGGUGUAACGGUGGAAUGUGUAGAUAUCGGGAAGAACACCAAUGGCGAAGGCAGGUCUCUGGGCCGUUACUGACGCUGAGGAGCGAAAGCGUGGGGAGCGAACAGGAUUAGAUACCCUGGUAGUCCACGCCGUAAACGGUGGAUGCUGGAUGUGGGGCCCGUUCCACGGGUUCCGUGUCGGAGCUAACGCGUUAAGCAUCCCGCCUGGGGAGUACGGCCGCAAGGCUAAAACUCAAAGAAAUUGACGGGGGCCCGCACAAGCGGCGGAGCAUGCGGAUUAAUUCGAUGCAACGCGAAGAACCUUACCUGGGCUUGACAUGUUCCCGACAGCCGUAGAGAUAUGGCCUCCCUUCGGGGCGGGUUCACAGGUGGUGCAUGGUCGUCGUCAGCUCGUGUCGUGAGAUGUUGGGUUAAGUCCCGCAACGAGCGCAACCCUCGCCCUGUGUUGCCAGCACGUCAUGGUGGGAACUCACGGGGGACCGCCGGGGUCAACUCGGAGGAAGGUGGGGAUGACGUCAGAUCAUCAUGCCCCUUACGUCCAGGGCUUCACGCAUGCUACAAUGGCCGGUACAACGGGAUGCGACACGGCGACGUGGAGCGGAUCCCUGAAAACCGGUCUCAGUUCGGAUUGGAGUCUGCAACCCGACUCCAUGAAGGCGGAGUCGCUAGUAAUCGCGGAUCAGCAACGCCGCGGUGAAUGCGUUCCCGGGCCUUGUACACACCGCCCGUCAAGUCAUGAAAGUGGGUAGCACCCGAAGCCGGUGGCCUAACCCUUUGUGGAUGGAGCCGUCUAAGGUGAGACUCGUGAUUGGGACUAAGUCGUAACAAGGUAGCCGUACCGGAAGGUGCGGCUG
rnacentral:rRNA from 1 species